rnacentral:rRNA from 1 species
AGAGUUUGAUCAUGGCUCAGGACGAACGCUGGCGGCGCGCCUAACACAUGCAAGUCGAGCGAGAACCAGGGGCUUCGGCCCUUGGGGACAGCGGCGAACGGGUGAGUAACACGUGGAUAACCUGCCCUCGGCACCGGAAUAGCCCGGGGAAACUCGGAUUAAUGCCGGAUAGCCCCACAUCCCUGCGGGGAACGUGGGAAAAGGUAGCUUCGGCCUCUGGCCGGGGAUGGGUCCGCGGUGGAUUAGCUUGUUGGCGGGGUAACGGCCCACCAAGGCGACGAUCCAUAGCUGGUCUGAGAGGACGAUCAGCCACACUGGGACUGAGACACGGCCCAGACUCCUACGGGAGGCAGCAGUGGGGAAUCUUGCGCAAUGGGCGAAAGCCUGACGCAGCGACGCCGCGUGCGGGAAGAAGGCCUUCGGGUUGUAAACCGCUUUCAGGAGGGACGAAGCCACUCGGGUGAGCAGCCCAGAGGGUGACGGUACCUCCAGAAGAAGCCCCGGCUAACUACGUGCCAGCAGCCGCGGUA